rnacentral:misc_RNA from 1 species
UUUUAGUAGGGUUCCCCUUUAGAGAGGGGCAUUGCCUCUUGUGAACUAGCACCAGGUACAUGCUGUGAAGACAAGGUAGAAUUAGGAAUAUUGAAGGAGAUGAGAGGACGCCUCAUUCUUCCUUCUCUCAUCCAAGGGUGAAAUUCUCACGCAUUGCGAUUGCGCCACCUCUGGCGACCUCCCACAAGCAUAAGACAAAUCGUCAAGCCAUAUAUAGAGCGUUAAAAACCGGCCGAAUUCGUUUUACGCAUGUCCAGUAAGUUUACUGCGCAUGCCGCACCAACUACGAAGGCCAACGACAACCUACGAAAUGGUGAUUUAAAUACGACAUACGACCAUGGCAAUAACCGCUGUAGCUAGUUUGCGGGCGUUCAGGAAAAUGGCAGACCAUUCUCCUCUGGUCACCAGUGCGGAUAGUGUCAUAAAUGAAGAUACAACAAUAGUAAGAUAUGGUAGCAACAGAUGUAAGAAUGUUUUGAACGUGGUAUUGAUAUUAGGUUUCAUAGUUGUUGGUUCUGUGGUGAUAAUUGUUCUUCUUCUGGUUCGUCCGAAUGUCAGAAACAAUCCUGAAUACGGUGUUGUAUUUGAUGCUGGUUCAAGGCACACGUCUGCAUAUGUUUAUAAGUGGCCAGGAAAUAUAAGGUUAAGAGGAACUGCGGUUCCUGUGGAUGAGAUUUGCCAUGUUUCCAACAGUACAGGAAUAUCAUCAUUUGUGAACAAUCCAAAAGGUGCAGGUUCGUUGGUGGGCAAUUUAUUAAAAAAUGUCAUCGGAGAGGUUCCACAUGACAAGAGAUCAUCAACUCCUGUGUAUCUUGGAGCAACAGCAGGAAUGAGAUUGGAACGUGAGGUGAACAAGACAAUUUCGGACAACAUUAUGUCAUCUAUACGGGAUGUUUUUCUUGCUUCAAGCUUACAAUUCUCUGCCAAGAAUGCUAAGAUCAUUACAGGAAAAGAUGAAGGUUCUUUUGGAUGGAUCACUGUGAACUAUUUAAAGAAAGUUCUGCAGGAGAAAAAUGAGGAAGACAUCAAGGAGACCUCCGGAGCAUUAGAUUUAGGUGGAGCUUCAACUCAGAUCACAUUUGUGCCGCAAAACACUUCCCAAGCUAACCAACAUUUUAGGCUUUAUGGUAAAGACUAUCCCGUCUAUACUAAAACAUAUUUGUGUUAUGGACUUUCUGAAAUUUACCGAAGAUUUCUAGCACAACUAGCAAAGAAUGCAAACUACUCGGCUACGAUAUCCAAUCCCUGUGCUCGAAAAGGAAGCAUUACUAACCAAUCAGCGUCCAACAUAUUUCGUGAACCCUGCAGCUGUGAGCCAUCGCCGAAACCCAGAACUGCCCAGUUCACUUUCAACGGUUCAAACAACGAGUCGGAAUGCAACGAAAAUAUCAGGAGUCUUUUUGAUUAUAGUUCAACUUGUCCUAAUGCUGUACCAUUUUUCAACGCAAGUCAUAAACAACCUCCAGUUACGGGUAAUUUCCUGGCAUUUUCAGCGUAUUAUAUCAUUAAAAAAAACUUGAAUUUGCCAACUUCACCCACAAUGGACGAAUACAGGUCUGCUUAUUUGGCCUACUGCAAUAGAAAUGUGGUUGAGAGAAAAACGCUGGAUGCUUUUGUCACUGUAGUUCCGACCUGUUUUUCUGGACACUAUAUCUACACUUUGCUGACGUACGGUUUUCAAUUUAAGAAUGAUACGUGGAAAAUCUCUUUUGGGAAAACCAAAUUGUGCUUCUGAAUCAAAAAGCUCAAAGAUUUGAAGUGUAAAGGUGGAUGAAUGUGUAAGGAUAACUUGUGAAACUUGUGUGAAAUAUUGUGCCGCAGUUUUUGCGAGGAAAAGACCAAAAAGUCUUGAUUCUUGUCGCCUUUUGAAGUUAGCUUGCAGAAAUAUCUGGGAUAAUGUCGUUAGGAAGAUCACCAAUCCUUGAGAAACUUCUUUCCACUGAAAACCAAUCUGAUACUAGCAAUACAACCAACUUCAAACCAAACCCAGGAG